AAUGAUAACUUGCCUCAGUGUGUGUGUGUGUCCAUCCAUGUGUUAGCAGCAGGCUUCAGGCUGGCUCUAGAAGACUUCCUAUGUGAGGUGUGUUAUAACAGUGAUGCUGAGCGGUCCCAGCUGGAGGGCUGUGUAACCCUGUCUCUACUGAACUGUCACAGAGACCCCCACUCUGGCAUCGUCUCUCUCACCAUCAACAUCAUCUUCACCCCUUACAAACCUCUCAGGUGUUCAGCUGUCCUGGCGGUUCAGUGUUUGACAGGUGGGCUCUGGAAGUUUCCCAUCAGCCUCAUCUCCACCGAGCCGCAGGUUGAUGAUGUCAUCACCAUUAACGCUGCAGGGCUACACAAGACCUCUGCUGUGGGCUUCAGACUGACCAGCCAGACCAGGUACCCAGAGCCAUUCACAGCAGGGUUCCUGCCAGGUGGG